rnacentral:lncRNA from 1 species
GACUCAGGUGCCUUUGCUGUUGCCUCCUUAGGCUGGGAUUUCAUAUGUUCUCACCACUAGGUGCUGCCUACAUUAGGAAUGACGAUAAAGCCUCAGUCAUUUGUGUGCCAUUUGCCAUGUAAAGACAUAUGCUCUGAGCAUAUCUAGCUGUUUUAAAAUCUUUUUAACUGCCAUAUAACAUAUAGUCAUUCCUUAAAUAACUUAAUCCACUUCAAAAUGAGCUACAGUAGUAUCUGUUUCCUUUCCUGUCCUGCUUUCUUUCAUUCUGCUCUCUACUUUGGAAACAAUCAUGUUGGGCAUUUCUGCAGCUUAUUAACUAUAUUUUCAGCUGUGGAAAAACACGUAAGUGCUGGGAAAAUUUCUUUUUUCAAUAUUUUAGCAUAGAGUAUUGCUACUUAUAUUAAGAAUUUGGAAAAGAAAAAUGGUACCAAGACUAAAUUAUUAUACUCCGAAUGAGUGAGAUAUAUCUAGGAAGGAAGCAGAUGAUGAAAGUGAUUUCUUCAAAAGAGUGAAAAAUGAUAAAUGUACACAUGGUGGCGGGGGCGUUUGCCUGAGCUUCAGCCUGUUACUCUUCAUCAUUAAGGUUUAGACAUGUCUGCAACUUUUCAUCACACAGGUAUUAAGGGCAUAAAAAAACAUGUAUUCAAAUAGAGCCCAGAGUUUUUCUUGAGGAUGAGGAGAUGUGGUUAAAGGUGAAUCCACUGUUGGAAUUCAAAUAAAGCUGGGCAUGUGUGUCGAACUUAUGUGGUGGUCCAGUAGAAGUCUAGAAGGGUUAGGCUGUGGCACUAAUUAUCUUUCUGGGAAGAACUCACCCUAAUGGAAGAGAGAGCCAGUGGGGAUAAUCUUGCUUAUAUACGUUUCCUAGGCAUUGGUGAAGAGUAGGAAGUCAGCCUACGGCCUGUAUCCUGAAACGUGGCUAGGUCCUGGAGGAAGAAAGGGCUAGAAGCAAAAAUAGAACCUUUGUGUUAAACUGUCUAACUCACUGAGAGUCAAGAAAUACUUCCUUAGUAAGACCCCUCUUUAACCACAGAAGAAAUCAAUUCUCCUCACUCUAUUGCAGGCUGCUGGACAGUCUGGAUAUCCUCAAAGCAGCCACCAGGAGAUAAUGACCAGGCUGGAUCGAGCAGGAAGAAAGACAGGGUCAUUAGGCAGAACAGAGCACACAUGCAGCACCUAAUGGAUGCUGCAAAAGGCAGCAGGGCUGCUGAAGCCACAGGGGCAGUGGCAGGCAGUGGGAGAGGGUGUCCUUCCUGGUGGAGCCUCAAGUAAAGUAAAUGCAGGUGCUGAGAAAAUUGCUUCUGAGUACACAUGCGGUAUCACCUGGGAGUGCCUGGGAGGACUUGGAGAGGGGCACAUUUACAGUUAUGGACUUCCUGCAUGAGCAAGUAGGGCAUAAAUCCAGGUUAAUUGGGUUACGGGGAUAAAGAUUUAGUAAGCCUUUUGACUUACACAUCACAUAUAUAUGCUAUUUUAGUGCAGAAAGACUUAAAUUUUAAAUAUGUUUUAGAAGCAGUGAAGUUCAAAGGCCUCCUUUGGGGUCAAUUAAGACCUGCGUAUAUGUACCUUCAAAUGUUUAAGGGAGUUGCUCCUCAAUUUAGGGGCAGCUUAAGCGAAUACGUACCUAAAUAGGCAGAAAAAACUGGCCACUGAAAAGUCUUCUGUUUUCUGUUUUUAAACUUGUAGACUCAUAUUUGUACAUUACAUCAAGCUCCAAACAUGUAGGAACAUGCUGGUCACAAUAAACUAGUGAAUUCUGCCCCAAAUAUAUAUCUCAACAUGGUUUUUCCACUGCAGCAUGGUAUACAUUCAUAUCCUUCCCUCUAUAUCUUCUUAUUUCAUUUACAAGUGUUUUAUUUAUUAAGAUCUAUGUAAUGGGCUGUAAAGGUAACAUAGACGCAAAAGUUACAGACAGAAACCCUAUGGUUACUCCAUUCUUCUAUUUGUUACACAAUCCGUGUUAUGGCACAACUAAUAUGGUCACUUAAAUGUCCCAAGUCUGACAGUCAGUGAAAAUUCAUGAUACAACUUUAAGCUAUUGUAUUGAGUGUUUAUGUAAGUUCAAUGAAUAUAGGAAGAACACAUUGAAUUCUCACCUAUAAUGUUUUCUAUAAAUGUGUGAACCAGAAUCAAAUAUAUGAACAUAGGCUAGAAAAAAGCAGAGUGUUCCGUAAUAAUUCAAGGAGUAAAAUGUAUUAAUGCUUAUUUUUGUAUAAUUUAUAGCUUGGUCCUGUAGGAAAUUACUGGAGAUUACAAUGACAUUCAAAGGUAAAAGGAUUCAACAUUACAAAUGUUCCAUUUAAUUGUACCAGAAACAAGGUGCUGAAAGUAUGAUUUAAAUACAUAUACUUCAGAUUUUGGGCAGAAGGAGAUUGAAUUAUUGUUGAAUUUGGAUCCAGAGAAAAUAUUAUAUAAGGAUUAUAUAUACAUAUAUGAUUUACACAUAAUAUACAUUAAUAGGUAAUGGCAUAUAUAUGUUCAUACCCAAAUAUAGGAGGUGAUUUGAUGCUUAUGAGUUCUUGAAACACUGCUCUUUAACUGGGAAGAGAAAUUAUGAAGGGAAUAAUGAGGAAAAGCAAAAAAAGUAGCUUUCCUCCACCAGAUAACAGUUGGUAACUUUGCAAUUUUAAUGAAAAUCUAGCAAAUCAGGUAUUGUACAACUGUUUUCUCCUCACCAAAACAGGUAAGGAGGAAGCUCAUUUUCUACUGUUGAAGUCUACAGAUGAAAAUUCCUCUAAAAGUAAAACCAUCCCCAGUAGAUGUAAUUAGUCCAGUUUUUGGUCAUUAAUAGUUCAUUUAGGUUAAUCUAGAAAAUAUAAUUGCCAGUGACAGAGGAGGAGGUAAAGAAGUUUAUGAAUCAGUAAUCUAUGGAUUAAAUAUUUUUAUGUCUUUUAAAUCAUCUAAGUAAGUAAAUUACCAUCAUGUUCCUUUAAGGAAACGGCAGAAAAUUCAAGUCUACUCCCACUCGGCACACAAAUGAACCAUUCCAUAAUAAUAUUAUCUUGACUGCAAAAAGAACAGUCUUUGUUUACAUGUAAGCUGGAAAACUUUUAAAUAAUAAUCUUGAGGGUGGAGAAUAUACAGCACUCUCUUAGGUCAAAUUAUGACCACAGUUAUAACAGACAGUGCAAAAAGCUUUGAAAGGGAUAAGAUAAGACAAAGAGAAAUGACAGGAAAACAAAGUGGCCAAAGAAAUGUUUGGCAGAAGCCCAGCAUACUCCUGGCAUCCUCUCCCUAGGCCUUUUGCCUGUCUGCAGAAUUAUCACUUAUCUUCCACCAGCUUCUCUCUCUUUAAAGAAAGGCCAGUGUACCCCUUCCAAUGCUUCAUCAAUACCUCACAUGUCACAGAGUACAAUGUAAAUGGGCUACAAGCCCAUAUUUCAUGGUUCUCCAAAACAGCUUCUCAUAAGAACAAGGUUACGCAUUUGCAAGAUUUAUAAAACAGAGGGCUGAAUCUUAAUUAGGCCUGCACUGUUAAAUGAAAAUAUUUUCUUAGACACAUUGGCACUUUUCCCUUCAAGCCAAUAAUGCUCUCCUUCUCAAACUGUCUGCUUGCUUGUUUUAAAUAAAAGGUAAGUAGAUAUUUACUUAGAGUGAUAGAGGAAAUACACACCAACUACUUGGUAUAGUAGGUAGGUGGAAAGGGACAAGGAUCCAGAUGUUCUGAGUUACAUGCUGCUGCUGCCACUAGCUUGCUUUGUCACCUGGAGACAGUCAUUAAUCUUGAUGAACCUCCAUUUGUCUGUCUAUAAAUUGAGAAAGUAGGAAAUUUCUAAGGCUGCUUGUUAGUUAUAUGAUCUGUGAUCUAACCAUAUUGGUCAAUUAUAAAGUGUCAUGCCAGAGAUAACAUUUUAUGGGUCAAUUAGAGUAUGUGGUGACUGACUGGGGAAGUCAUAUAUGAUUUUAAUAAACUUCUUUUUAAAAAGAAAUGUAAGUUCUACAAAUCUACUAAACAUAUUCCUAGAUCCUUGAUCUCACCUUCACCAAAAGGUAUCUAUCUGAUCAAGUCCUUAUCAUAAUUUUCAAACAAUUUUAUUUAAGCCUUCUUAGGCUAGUUUCUAAUUUGGCACAAGAAGGUUCAAUGUAGAUCAUCUCCCUUGAUUCUUGGAUCUUAAGGAUGGGAAAUUGGAGGUCAUGGCACAAUUCAGCAGCAAGAGUAUUAGUGCAGCCCAGGUCCUGUGGUUUGGGCCAGGCAUCUCUCCAUUGCCAGAGGUUGCCUUCAGAAGUCUGAAUGGGACACAUAGCCCAUUUUCAGGCCUUGAGAAUUCCUGUGAGAAUUUCAAGCAAGCUUUUGUUUCAACAGCUCACAUGUGCAAGGGCCACCAAGAGUUUAGUAAUGUAAAUAGAUAACAUGUCAUCAUUUAGCCAAGGAAUCACAUUAUGAGCAUAUUCAAACCACAUUCAAAAGGACACCAGAUUUCCUUGAAACAUCUGUGGAUAAAGGAAGAAAAAUCAUGGUGGAUGUGUAGCCAGCCUCCAACAUGGGCUCCAAUGAUUCCUGCCUCUUGGUAUUCAAGUCCUUGUGCAGUUUCCUCCUACAAUGUAUCAUAAUUGGUCUUUGUGACCAAGAGAAUACAGCAGAAGUGAUGGCAUGUCACUUCUGAAGCUAGGUCAUAAAAGGUACUGUGGCUUUGUGGUAUAAUAAGAAAGACAUUCUAUCUUUGUCCAUAGUGCCUGGCACAGAACUCCUGUUGAGGAACCCCUGUUCCCUCAAACCCCUGGAACACCACACAGAGAACUAUCUCCAGGCCUGGACUUCCCCUGACUUGGAGACAGCCUUAUUCUCAGAUCUCUCUCUCUUUUAAAAUGGACUAUCCUCUUUACAACCCAGAGAGCCCCAUCCAAAUGUAAGGACUGGUCUCCAAGGGGGAAGGGGAGGAGGGAUGCCAUUUAGGGUUAUAGAUUCCCCAACUCUGCCAGCUCUAACUGGCCCCUGAGUUGCUACUAUGUAAAUUAAAUCUACCCUGCACCACCCCUCUGUCUCUAUAUAUAUAAAAAAAGUAGUAGGGUGAUAGGAGCAUAUGUGUUCUAAUGAGGCAACUCUUAGCAAGCCUCUAGAUAGCUUCAGGAUGGAGGCAGGUCAUCAGAAAGACCAAGCCUUCAUUAGAAGCUUGGAGCUUUCAGCCCCAACCCUCAACCUCCAGGUCCAGGGAAAAGGGGUUAGAGAUUGAGUUAAUCUUGAAUGGUCAGUGAUGUAAUUAAUUGUGCUUACUUAAUAAAACCUCCAAAAAAGCCCCUAAACAAUGGAGGUUUAGAAGAGCUUCUGGGUUGGUGAACACAUGGAGGAGCUGGGUGAGUGGUGCACAUGGAGAGUGCAUGGAAGCCUCCAACCCCCAUACCUUCUAUGAAUCUCUUCCAUUUGGCUGUUCCUGAAUUGUAUCCUUUAUAAUAAACCUGUAAUAGCAAGUAAAGUGCUUUCCUGAGUUCUGUGAGUAAUUCUAGCAAAUUAUUGAUCCUGGGCUGCCUGGUGGGGAUCGGGGAUGUGGUUGGGGAAAUGUCCGAGUUGGGGAGGUGCUGUUCUCUGAAAGGUAGCCUAAGACACCCCAUCUGCAGUUGGCAUCUGAAGUAGGGGCAGUCUUGUGGGAUUAAGCCCUUGACCCAGGGGUGUCUGCACUAACUCUGGGAAUUGGUAUCAGAAUUGAAUAGAAUUGUUGGACACCCAGUUGGUGUCCGAGUUGGUUGGUGUGAGUAAAAGCCUCUUAGAUUUAUUGCUUGUUCUCUUUUCCUAUCUGAUCCUUUCUCUCUGUCUCAGAUCACUCAUUGUGGAAGAAAUCUGAUGCCAUGUCUUGAGGACACUCAAGUGGCCUAUGGAGAGGCGAACAUAAAGACAAGAAACCCAAUCUCAAGCACUAUGAGACUCCCUCCUCUCCAUCUCCAAGGGUCAGGCCAUGGUCUUAGUCAUUGCCAAGAGCAUCACAGAAGGCCUCUGCCUCCGGUUCCUACCUGGGCCCUUUCUAUGCUCGUUAACUGAUGCUGCAGCCUGACUUCUUCAAGACUAAGUUGGGCUGUAUGCUUGCAGUCAUGGGAGGAAAACAAAAGAGGGUAUAAACACAAUGCAAUGCCUCGACACAUCACUCCAUCUCAGGGGGUCAGAAAAUAAAUUAAAUGUUAGGAAAAACAGAAAAGAAAUAAGCAACAUAGUGCCAGCCUUUGGGUUCUUAGACACUCAAAAGGAAACAGAAAGUACAGAAACAAUACACCAGGAAAUAAAAGAGGGCGUUUUUAGAAGUACCAUUUAAAUUGCAAGGGCUGCAGGAAUCAACAGAAGGAAAUAAUCGGGGCGAGGGGGAGGGGACUUAAUAAGAAUAAUAAUUAUAUAUAUUCCCUCAAAUUUGUAUGGAAUUUAUAAAUUACGAGGGACUUUUCGCACAUUUGUAACUUCAUUUUAGACACGCACAAUGAAAUUAAGUAAAAUGGGGUUGGCGGGACAGAUGGUAACAUCUUUAUUUUACAGAUGAGGAACUUGGACUCAGCUAGCUUUGGCGACUUGUUGAGAAAGUCAGAACCAGUUAGUUGUGGAAUAUAAAAUUGAGCUCGGCUCUCUUCCUACCUAGUCUUUUCUCUGCUCCGCUCCCACACUUCAGUGAGAGUUGCUUUCCUGAAGGAGUAAGUUCUAAAGCAGGAUUGGAAGUUCCUAUAGGGACAAAGAGAAGAGGCAUCCAUGAGUGGCAAGGAGUGUGAAAGGGAUGAAAAACACAUAGGAAGAAAUGGAGACAGGCAGAAGGUCCCAGCUACAGGACAGAAAAGCCAGGGUGUGGGCUUCUGAGAGAUGAUGCUGAGUGCAUGAGCUGGACUUGUGGAAUACAUACAGAAGAUGCCUCCAAUUACUGAGAGGUUAAGAAGAACAUUAUAUUGCCUCACAAAUCCUGUUUGUUACUGUAUAGAAUUGUAAGAAUUAUGGAAGAAACUGAAGGAAUUACUCCUCUAAAGCAGAUACUCCUGGAAAGUUACACAACUUGGCUAAUACUCUCCUGCUAGAGUUGGACAGGAAGACCUUACCAAAGCUGAAAGAUAAGAGAAACAUUUGUUUGGGCUGAGGCAGCUGUUUCAUGAAAUGCAACAUCAUAUCUCAUUUUUCUUCAUGAACUUCUCUCAUUUAACAAUUAGGCUGGAAGAACACACAUUACCAAUAGGUUCAGUCGUAUAACACUCAGAACCUGGAAAUAAUGAGUUGGAAGUUUCAGAUCCUACAAAAUAAAUCAGUUACUCCAUCAAUUCUAUAAUAUAAGGCAAAGAAUCUGAAAAUUGAAGGAAGAUAUUUUGAACAACACUGUGCAAAAGCUAUUGCUGAGUUAGGUAUUCAGUUAAGCCAAACACCACGCCUGGUUCUCAGUUUGUUUUGCAAAAGCAUUUAUUCUACAUUUUAAAUAUGCACAUGUUUCAACUUGGGCUAGAAAGACUUAACUAAAAAUAACACCACUAUCACCAAGUGAUGCUAUGGUUGACCGAUACUCCAGGAUUUGAAAAAAAAAUUCCCCAAAUGGUACAAAUUCCCCAAAUGCUACAAAUUCCCUAGGAACUGGAAGCUUUUCCUCUCCUUAAGGUGAAAGACUGCUUCUCCUCUUGGUGUUUUGCCAUUAAAAAAAGAAAGUAUUUAGCAAACAACUAGCAGAUCCAUCAAAAGGUUAGGAUUCUUUUUAUUUUAGUGCUCUUUCUUAAUGGGCAAAAUUGAUUGAUUAGUUCACCUGGAAUGUUCUUAGCCUUAGGGCAGAAACAGAGCUUUGUAUGCAUUAGUGGACUGGGUUUAUAAAAGAAAAAAGUCCACAUUCAAGAAUACAGAGAAUUUCAAAAAUACAAGAAAAUAGAAAAAAGAAAAACAAGGUCUGGAAGCAUAUUAAAAUUCUUGUAUUCAUUAAAAAUCAAAUGGCUGUGUUUUCAGUUGUAUUGAGUUAUCAUAUGUGCACUGGUUCUUUGCCUUAGUUCCAAAUGUACUCAUAUUAUCAUCUCUAAAUCCAUCUGGAUAGUUUAUACAGUGAACCCUGGAAUCACCUUAGUUUCUCCAAACUCCAUCUACUUUUUGAGAAAAAAAAAAAGCGUAAGGCAGACCUUUCCCCAUUAGAUCUCCAACCUCUGUUGCUCCCUUCCCUCACUUGUUGGUAAAACUACUUUCUGGAAAGUUUGUUUACCUUUCAGACAAGACAAGGGGUGAAACAGAGGAGCAACAACCUCCUUGCCGUUGGCUAGAAUGAAGUGAGGGGAGUUACCAGGAUGCAGUGGUAUUAAUCCCCUGUUACUCUGAUGUUACCUCAGACCCUCUUCUAUUUAUUUGGCCAUACUCCCAGCACAGUGAUUUACAUCUUGGAGGAAGUAGUAUUUAAAUGUAUGUGCAUAAGAUUCUGUUGGGGAGUUUAUUAACAAUGCAGAUUCCUGAGCUCUAGCCUGCUCUAUGAAAUCUGCAUCCCUAGCAGAUUAGCACCCAGGAAUGCUCAUCGAUAAGCUUUUCCAGCGAGUAUGAUUAGGUAGGUGGUCUCAUGACCACAUUUUGGGAAACACAGACUUAGGAUGAUAUGAAAAGUGACGUCAGGCUGUGCUAAGUGCCAAGCCUUGAGUGGAAAGGUGUUUUAAGUCGCUAUCUCAUCUCAGAGUACAUAAUAAAUAUUUAAAUUUGAGAAAACUAGUAUAUAAUAUAUAAGUAAAACCUGUUAUUAUUUGCUAUUGUUUUUCUUUAUGGUUUCCACACAGAUAUCUGAUCUGCCUUAAGCAUUAUUUGCCUUGGUGAUCUGUAAAUUCCUGAAAAAGGGCGAAAGCUUAGGUGACAUACACUCUAAUUAAUGUGGCCCUCAUAUACUGUUUAAGUAACAGAACCCUUACCACUUACAGCUGGAAAGACUUUUAAAAAAUGUAGCCCAAGCUUUUUAAUUUUUUCAGGUGAAGACGCUUUUAUGCAGAGAGAUGAACUAAUGUAGGAAUCAUUUUGUACAGGGGAGUGGUCUGAAAUAUUAAUGGGCUAUUUUAACCAUCAGCUUGAAUAAUUCAAAGGUGUCUGCUUAAUUCUUGUGCUUUCCCAGUUCAGAUGAAAAUAUCCACAAAGAGAACUAUGUAAGUAAAUACAAUUAAUCAUAAUCAAUCAUGUACUGUCUUGGAUUUCCCUAAAACCAAAACACUGAAAUGGACACAUGACAUCCUUCUGGUCCUAAUUUUCCACCAAUUCAUGAAACAUUUCAUGCUUUGCUUGGGACAGCACAAAUCUUUCAACCUCCAAUUAUAUUAAUAUUAUGAGGGCACUGAAGUGCCCAAAUGUGACAUGAAGUCCUUGAGUGUGGAAUGGCCUUUUCCAAUAGACAUACAGUUUGCAUAAAUGGAAAUGAACACAAUAUUAUCACCCCUUGAGAUUUCCUGGUUUUGGAACAAAGAGGUGGUGGUCCUGGAUGCUUUACAGUAUAAUCUCCUUUUAGAGAUUCUUAGUGCACAAUAUUAUAAAUUCAGAGUUCUUCUGAAAUAAAGAAAAACAUUACCUUUA